GAUGAACGCUGGCGGCGUGCCUAAUACAUGCAAGUCGAGCGAACAGAUGAGGAGCUUGCUCCUCUGACGUUAGCGGCGGACGGGUGAGUAACACGUGGAUAACCUACCUAUAAGACUGGGAUAACUUCGGGAAACCGGAGCUAAUACCGGAUAAUAUAUUGAACCGCAUGGUUCAAUAGUGAAAGACGGUUUUGCUGUCACUUAUAGAUGGAUCCGCGCCGCAUUAGCUAGUUGGUAAGGUAACGGCUUACCAAGGCAACGAUGCGUAGCCGACCUGAGAGGGUGAUCGGCCACACUGGAACUGAGACACGGUCCAGACUCCUACGGGAGGCAGCAGUAGGGAAUCUUCCGCAAUGGGCGAAAGCCUGACGGAGCAACGCCGCGUGAGUGAUGAAGGUCUUCGGAUCGUAAAACUCUGUUAUUGGGGAAGAACAAAUGUGUAGGUAACUAUGCACGUCUUGACGGUACCUAAUCAGAAAGCCACGGCUAACUACGUG
rnacentral:rRNA from 1 species